rnacentral:rRNA from 1 species
AUUGAACGCUGGCGGCAGGCCUAACACAUGCAAGUCGAACGAGUGGCGGACGGGUGAGUAAUGUCUGGGAAACUGCCUGAUGGAGGGGGAUAACUACUGGAAACGGUAGCUAAUACCGCAUACCAUCAGAUGUGCCCAGAUGGGAUUAGCUUGUUGGUGGGGUAACGGCUCACCAAGGCGACGAUCCAUAGCCGGUCUGAGAGGGUGACCGGCCACACUGGGACUGAGACACGGUCCAGACUCCUACGGGAGGCAGCAGUGGGGAAUCUUCGACAAUGGGCGAAAGUCUGAUCGAGCAACGCCGCGUGGGUGAAGAAGGUUUUCGGGUCGUAAAGCUCUUUUAUCAGGGAGGCGGUAUCUACCCAAGAAGCCCCGGCUAACUACGUGCCAGCCGCCGCGGUAAUUC